rnacentral:misc_RNA from 1 species
CCUCUGGGAGGAGGACGCCGAAGGUGGGGCUGAUGACUGGGGUGAAGUCGUAACAAGGUAGCCGUACCGGAAGGUGCGGCUGGAUCACCUCCUAACAGGGAGAACCAACCUCAAAUGAUGAUCACCACUUUUUAGUGAUCCAUUUGACUGUUCAUUCCUAUGGUCGAUCGGUACCUCAGUGAGUGUUAAUCAUUCAUUCGGUUCUUAAGCUUGUCUAGGUCACCACCCCUUAGCGAUUAAGCUUUGUGGGAUGGGCCCGAGAGGGUUCCUGGGCCAUUAGCUCAGGUGGUUAGAGCGCACCCCUGAUAAGGGUGAGGUCCCUGGUUCAAGUCCAGGAUGGCCCAUCGGGAUUGGGGGUUUAGCUCAGCUGGUAGAGCGCCUGCUUUGCAAGCAGGAUGUCAGCGGUUCGAGUCCGCUAACCUCCAUUAUUCUUGAUAAUGGAACUGUGGCACAGGGUGACAUAGACGGAUGUUGGUGAUUCCAGCCUCGUUUGAUUCUUGAUUCAAGCUCAAACGAUGCUGGGCUCAGCAAUGGGUUCAGCAAGAACCUUGAAAACUGCAUAGGUAAGUCUGGAAAUAAAGCAUCUCACAGAGAUGAUCCAGGCAUGAAGUGAUUCACGUUUAACCGCGUGAAUUAUUUGAUGUUUGGUUCAACAAUUCUGGAGAAAGCCGAGUCCUGAUUAAUUUGAUCAGGAAAAAAAUGGUCAAGCUACAAAGGGCUCACGGCGGAUACC